UUGGCCGUGAAGUACCCGCCGGGGCGCGGCCUCAGGUGCCGGUUGUGCAUCUCCAUUUGCACGAUCUUCAUGAACUCUAUCUGUGCAGCCAGUUUCUGCACUUCUUCCUGGAAUAACAAAAAUUACAAUCAGAAUGAAACGAACCAGCUGUUCGCAUAACACGGCCGGCAACAAACCACUGCAAGGCACUAAGGACGGUAGUGGGCUUUGUCUGAUGGAAGUCUCUGCAUUGGUUGUCCGCAACCGUCACUACGCGUUCCGCCUAGCGCGGCUUAUCUUCUUAUAUAGGAGGGGGCUCAAAAGGACGCUCUCGACGUCAACGGCAGCGGGAGGCCUACCUGUCACGAUGCAGUCUAAAAAGAACCAAUACUAUCUUAGUUCUCACUAAAGGGAAUUUAACACUAAAAAAAAACAUUUCACUACCAUGAAAAGACAAAUUGAAAGUGUUUGAAAGAGGUUUUAAAUAUGUCGCAAAUAAAAAGGCUGAAAUACGAUAAUUAUGGUAGCAUUCAUUAGUCUAAGCAUGAGGAAUCACCAAACCAUAAAUUCUUCAAAAAUUUUGAUAAAUGUAUUUGAUUCUUCAUUCGAAAUAAGUAGGUAUACGAUAUUAGUAUCCAUUUAUAUCACAAAACAUUACAUUUGAAAACGUUACGAACCAAACUACAAAAGCCAUUGUUCCUAUAAUACAAAGAUGGUUCUGUGCAUUUGAUAUUACGCAUGUUAAAGAUAGGGUAGGUCUUUUGAACACCCGUAACUCCAUCAUUGGCUUUGUUAAAUGACAACGAGACGGCUAGGCUGAAGACGUUACAAGUUAUGUUAAUAGAUAGCACAUUUCACGUAUUACGGACGGAAUUUUCGGAGUGUAGUUUUCAUCUACAAUCAAUUUCACUGUUUGUCUAGUCAUUUGUUCUUUUCAUACGACUUCGAAAAAAGGAGGAAAUUCUCAAUUCAAAGUGUAUGUUUUUAUGUUUGUUAUAUCUCAACUCGGCAGUUUGUUAACCGAUUUUGAAAACUCUUUUUUAUUUAAAGAAUAUACUUUCAGAUUUUGCCUUUAUUAUUUUAAAGAAAAUAGGUCCAGUAAUUUGGUUUUUAAACUAAAAUAACUGGCUUAAGUAUUUCGUUUAAGUAAACGAAAUUGUUAAUCAAACUUUCCUGUGACUUUUUUAGUGGUGUUUUGGCAUUUGUUUUUGUUGUGUCUUUUUCAUACAUACAUAUAUAGCAUUUUCCCUUUUCAGGGGUACACAAAGAUGUAACACCUCAGUGGAAUAGUCGUAAUGCAUGUGCAAUACGAGUACGCCAUUGAUGAUGAUGAUGAGAUGUCUAUUUCUUACUAAAAUAAAAAAGUUUAUAAUUUUUUUUUUUAUGUAAACUGUUUACCAAUUUUGUGUUCGGUGACUAAAUAAUGUUAAAGUGGUUUUUGAAGGUAGUUUAAUUUUUAUAACUGUUGUCAUAGGCACAGUCGUAAUAAAUUGUAAAUAUUGAAAUAAUUGUAAAUUAAUUUUUUUCAACUCUGAUUGUUCAAAAACUAUAUAUCUUCUUAGAAAUUAUGACUAGAUAUAGAUUACACUUUUUAUUUGUUCA
rnacentral:lncRNA from 1 species